ACUGAAAAUCUUCGGAAUUGUAGUCUGGAGAAGUCAAAUCAACUUCAAGUUUCGGAUAAAGUCUCUUGGAACAGAGCGCCGUGGAGGGUGAUAGCCCCGUUCAUGUCUGAAACGAAAAGUGUACGAUUGGCUUUCUAAGAGUCGAGUUGUUUGGGAUUGCAGCUCUAAGUGGGUGGUAAAUUCCAUCUAAAGCUAAAUAUAAAUGGGAGACCGAUAGCGAACAAGUACCGUGAGGGAAAGAUGCAAAGAACUUUGAAAAGAGAGUUAAAUAGUACCUGAAAUUGCUGAAAUGGAACCGUUGGGAAGCAGUGUCGGCUGGGUGGUACUUGUAUCAUUUAGCAAGUCAGGCUUUCUUAAUUAUGUGGGAAAGGCUUCUAGACCAGUUUGGGCUAGUUUUGCUGUCAUGUGAUUGAGAGACUCUGACGAAAUGCUUCUUAACAACCCGUCUUGAAACACGGACCAAGGAGUCUAACAUGUGUGCGAGUGCUCGGGGUAAAACUCCCAGCGCGGAAUUAACGUAAAGGUGGAUUUAUUCACUGAGGUAGGAUCUGUAAAGUGCACUAUCGACCGACCAUGAUCCUUCGGGAGAAAGGUUUG
rnacentral:rRNA from 1 species